UUGAAAGGGAAACGAUUGAAGUCAGUCAUACCAACCGGGAAAUCAACCUCUUGAGCUCGGUCUCGUGGGUUUUGAAGAGUUUCAAAACCUUCGGAUUCGCGAGAUUGGGAUCUCUUGGUGUACUUUUUCGUACGGUUAGUCACCAUCGGUUUUGUAUGUCAUAAAAUGCCUGGAGGAAUGUAGCUUCGAUCUUGUAUUGAAGUGUUAUACCCUUUGGUAAAUGUGAUGAUUGGGAUCGAGGAUUGCAACGAAUACCCUUUUGGGCUAUCCGCCUGAUCUCUGAUACGUGCCUUGGCAUCGAAAGCUUGCUUAUGGUAUCAAGGUAUUACGGUCAAAAGCUAGAACCGAUNCAUUCGUUAAGGAUGUUGACGUA
rnacentral:rRNA from 1 species